CGGUUUUAUUUCACAAUCAGCUGUUAAAAACCAUGAUAUGGCACAAACGGUGGGUCAGGAAAAAGCAUAGUCCAUAAGUUUGAAGUAAAAAAAAAUUGUACUUCUGUAUUCUUAAAUCCAGAUUUAGAGUUUAGAC